rnacentral:rRNA from 1 species
UGUGAUGGGGAGCGAAAUUUAGUAGCGAAGUAGCUGAUUUCACACUGUCAAGAAAAGUCUCUAUCGAGGUUAAAGGUACCCGUACCGCAAACCGACACAGGUGGGGGAGGAGAGUAUCCUAAGGCCAGCGAGAGAACUGUUGUUAAGGAACUCGGCAAAAUGACCCCGUAACUUAGGGAUAAGGGGGGCCACCAUCAGGUGGCCGCAGAGAAUAGGCCCAAGCGACUGUUUACCAAAAACAUAGGUUUCUGCUAAGUCGCAAGACGAUGUAUAGG